GAAAGUCGGAACCGAUGGACAUAAAGAAUAAUAGAUAUUUCCUGAAGCACAUAAAGAUGAGAUCUUAAUUUUUGAGUUACUAUCUCCUCAAAACAUAAAUUCUAAAGUGGAAAAAUAUUCCAACUCUUUCCUUCUUGUUAGUGCGAACAAAGGCUGUCUAUCCCUAUAUUGAGUUGCUCUUGAACUGUUAUUGCUACGCAACUGAUUUUGGAAGAUAAGUCUGUGAGCCUUAUUUGUUUGGAUAUUUGUCCAAAAAUCAUAUCAAAACAUCUAUUGGACUGGUCAUAUCGUUUCCUUCGAGUCAAUUGCAUGUUUCUGAGUACUUACCUUUUUUUCAACUAUAUGAGGAUGGAAGUUUUAGUUUUGCAGUUUAGAUUAAUAUAUCCUAUUUGUGCAUCAUUCACUUUGUUGCCUUGUUUUUCAAGUUAUUUUCUUCUAACAAAUCUUUUGUUGGAGAACAUGAAGGAUACAUCCCGUAAAAGUAAUACUGAAGAAGGAUUGUCAUUCUUUCAUCAGAGGGCAACAGAAUGACCUGCCCCUGUGGGAUUCGUUUUGAUAAAAUCAAUGAAGAGAAGGGAUAUGUCAAUUAUCUUUUAAGAAUUUUAGCAGAUAUUUGGCACUGGAGCUUAAAUUUCAGUUCCUGCUUACGCUCAGAAUGAUGAGGAAGAAGGUGAAGAAUGAGAAGAAGAGGGCAUGAGUAAAUGUACAGGAAAGGAGUUGAAGAAGCUUUUGCAGUGUCAUAGCCAUUGUAAAUAAUUUAUGUAAAAGUUUGUAAAUAAUUUAUGUAUCUCUCUACUAUUUUGGUGAAUGUAUUAUUUGAAUAUAAUGAAAUUUGAUAUUGAAAUAUAAUUAGAUUGUGUUGGAUAUGAAUAUAAUUUAUUGUUUAAUAUUGUGUACAUGCACUCAAAGUAGAUUCU